rnacentral:rRNA from 1 species
UACGUAGGGUGCGAGCGUUGUCCGGAAUUAUUGGGCGUAAAGGGCUCGUAGGCGGUCUGUCGCGUCGGGAGUGAAAACUCAGGGCUUAACCCUGAGCCUGCUUCCGAUACGGGCAGACUAGAGGUAUGCAGGGGAGAACGGAAUUCCUGGUGUAGCGGUGAAGUGCGCAGAUAUCAGGAGGAACACCGGUGGCGAAGGCGGGUCUCUGGGCAACAACUGACGCUGAGGAGCGAAAGCGUGGGGAGCGAACAGG